UCUCGGCUUAUCACCGGCAGUCCCCUUAGAGUGCCCAACUGAAUGCUGGCAACUAAGGGCGAGGGUUGCGCUCGUUGCGGGACUUAACCCAACAUCUCACGACACGAGCUGACGACAGCCAUGCAGCACCUGUGUGUCGGCUCCCUUUCGGGCACGCCUCCGUCUCGAGAGGCUUCCGACCAUGUCAAGGGUAGGUAAGGUUUUUCGCGUUGCAUCGAAUUAAUCCACAUCAUCCACCGCUUGUGCGGGUCCCCGUCAAUUCCUUUGAGUUUUAAUCUUGCGACCGUACUCCCCAGGCGGAGUGCUUCACGCGUUAGCUGCGCCACCAAAGCACCAAGUGCCCUGACAGCUAGUUAUCAUCGUUUACGGCGUGGACUAC
rnacentral:misc_RNA from 1 species